rnacentral:rRNA from 1 species
AGUAACGCGUGGGAAUAUACCCUUCACUAUGGAAUAGCCUCGGGAAACUGAGAGUAAUACCAUAUACGCCCUUCGGGGGAAAGAUUUAUCGGUGAAGGAUUAGCCCGCGUAAGAUUAGAUAGUUGGUGGGGUAAUGGCCUACCAAGUCUACGAUCUUUAGCUGGUUUUAGAGGAUGAUCAGCAACACUGGGACUGAGACACGGCCCAGACUCCUACGGGAGGCAGCAGUGGGGAAUCUUAGACAAUGGGCGAAAGCCUGAUCUAGCCAUGCCGCGUGAGUGAUGAAGGUCUUAGGAUCGUAAAGCUCUUUCGCUAGGGAUGAUAAUGACAGUACCUAGUAAAGAAGCCCCGGCUAACUCCGUGCCAGCAGCCGCGGUAAUACGGAGGGGGCUAGCGUUGUUCGGAAUUACUGGGCGUAAAGCGUACGUAGGCGGAUCAGAAAGUAUGGGGUGAAAUCCCAGGGCUUAACCCUGGAACUGCCUCAUAAACUCCUGGUCUUGAGUUCGAGAGAGGUGAGUGGAAUUCCAAGUGUAGAGGUGAAAUUCGUAGAUAUUUGGAGGAACACCAGUGGCGAAGGCGGCUCACUGGCUCGAUACUGACGCUGAGGUACGAAAGUGUGGGGGAGCAAACAGGAUUAGAUACCCUGGUAGUCCACGCCCUAAACGAUGCUUACUCGAUGUUUGGACUAGAUCUGAC